GAUGAACGCUAGCGGCAGGCUUAACACAUGCAAGUCGAGGGGCAGCAAGGGUAGCAAUACCUGUUGGCGACCGGCAAACGGGUGCGGAACACGUACAGAAUCUACCUUGAUCUGGGGCAUAGCCCGGAGAAAUCCGGAUUAACUCCCCAUAAUAUGAUUGAGUGGCAUCACUUGAUUAUUAAAAUUUAUUGGAUCGAGAUGACUGUGCGUCCCAUUAGCUAGUUGGUAGGGUAACGGCCUACCAAGGCGACGAUGGGUAGCUGGUGUGAGAGCACGACCAGCCACACGGGCACUGAGACACGGGCCCGACUCC
rnacentral:rRNA from 1 species